rnacentral:rRNA from 1 species
AACGAACGCUGGCGGCAUGCCUAACACAUGCAAGUCGAACGAAGUCUUCGGACUUAGUGGCGCACGGGUGCGUAACGCGUGGGAAUCUGCCCUUGGGUACGGAAUAACUCAGAGAAAUUUGUGCUAAUACCGUAUAAUGUCUUCGGACCAAAGAUUUAUCGCCCAAGGAUGAGCCCGCGUAAGAUUAGCUAGUUGGUGGGUAAAAGCCUACCAAGGCGACGAUCUUUAGCUGGUCUGAGAGGAUGAUCAGCCACACUGGGACUGAGACACGGCCCAGACUCCUACGGGAGGCAGCAGUGGGGAAUAUUGGACAAUGGGCGAAAGCCUGAUCCAGCAAUGCCGCGUGAGUGAUGAAGGCCCUAGGGUUGUAAAGCUCUUUUACCAGGGAUGAUAAUGACAGUACCUGGAGAAUAAGCUCCGGCUAACUCCGUG